AGAGUUUGAUCCUGGCUCAGGAUGAACGCUAGCGAUAGGCUUAACACAUGCAAGUCGAGGGGCAGCAUGGUCUUAGCUUGCUAAGACUGAUGGCGACCGGCGCACGGGUGCGUAACGCGUAUGCAACUUGCCUCACAGAGGGGGAUAACCCGUCGAAAGACGGACUAAUACCGCGUACACUCCAUCUUGGGCAUCCAAGGUAGAGGAAAUGAAAUUCGCUGUGAGAUAGGCAUGCGUCCCAUUAGCUAGUUGGUGAGGUAACGGCUCACCAAGGCGACGAUGGGUAGGGGAACUGAGAGGUUGAACCCCCACACUGGUACUGAGACACGGACCAGACUCCUACGGGAGGCAGCAGUGAGGAAUAUUGGUCAAUGGGCGAGAGCCUGAACCAGCCAAGUCGCGUGAAGGAUGACUGUCUUAUGGAUUGUAAACUUCUUUUAUACGGGAAUAACAAGAGUCACGUGUGACUCCCUGCAUGUACCGUAUGAAUAAGCAUCGGCUAACUCCGUGCCAGCAGCCGCGGUAAUACGGAGGAUGCGAGCGUUAUCCGGAUUUAUUGGGUUUAAAGGGUGCGUAGGCGGCCUGUUAAGUCAGCGGUGAAAUCUAGGAGCUUAACUCCUAAAUUGCCAUUGAUACUGGCGGGCUUGAGUGUAGAUGAGGUAGGCGGAAUGCGUGGUGUAGCGGUGGAAUGCAUAGAUAUCACGCAGAACUCCGAUUGCGAAGGCAGCUUACUAAGGUACAACUGACGCUGAAGCACGAAAGCGUGGGUAUCAAACAGGAUUAGAUACCCUGGUAGUCCACGCAGUAAACGAUGAUAACUGGGCGUAUGCGAUAUACAGUAUGCUCCUAAGCGAAAGCGUUAAGUUAUCCACCUGGGGAGUACGCCGGCAACGGUGAAACUCAAAGGAAUUGACGGGGGCCCG
rnacentral:rRNA from 1 species